CCGCAGGUUCUGGCUGAAAGAUGGCGUAWGCUAUCGCUUUUGGAUGGACCCGCGGCGUAUAGCUAKUUGGUGAGGUAAUGGCUCACCAAGGCRAUGAUACGUAGCCKAACUGAGAGGUUGAUCGSMCACAUUGGGACUGAGACACGGCCCAAACUCCUACGGGAGGCAGCAGUAGGGAAUCUUCCACAAUGGACGCAAGUCUGAUGGAGCAACGCCGCGUGAGUGAAGAAGGCUUUCGGGUCGUAAAACUCUGUUGUUGGAGAAGAAUGGUCGGCAGAGUAACUGUUGUCGGCGUGACGGUAUCCAACCAGAAAGCCACGGCUAACUACGUGCCAGCAGCCGCGGUAAUACGUAGGUGGCAAGCGUUAUCCGGAUUUAUUGGGCGUAAAGCGAGCGCAGGCGGUUUUUUAAGUCUGAUGUGAAAGCCCUCGGCUUAACCGAGGAAGCGCAUCGGAAACUGGGAAACUUGAGUGCAGAAGAGGACAGUGGAACUCCAUGUGUAGCGGUGAAAUGCGUAGAUAUAUGGAAGAACACCAGUGGCGAAGGCGGCUGUCUGGUCUGUAACUGACGCUGAGGCUCGAAAGCAUGGGUAGCGAACAGGAUUAGAUACCCUGGUAGUCCAUGCCGUAAACGAUGAAUGCUAGGUGUUGGAGGGUUUCCGCCCUUCAGUGCCGCAGCUAACGCAUUAAGCAUUCCGCCUGGGGAGUACGACCGCAAGGUUGAAACUCAAAGGAAUUGACGGGGGCCCGCACAAGCGGUGGAGCAUGUGGUUUAAUUCGAAGCAACGCGAAGAACCUUACCAGGUCUUGACAUCUUUUGAUCACCUGAGAGAUCAGGUUUCCCCUUCGGGGGCAAAAUGACAGGUGGUGC
rnacentral:rRNA from 1 species